GACGAACGCUGGCGGUGUGCUUAACACAUGCAAGUCGAACGGUGAACGAGGGAGCUUGCUCCCUCCGGAUCAGUGGCGAACGGGUGAGUAACACGUGAGCAAUCUGCCCCGAACUCUGGGAUAAGCGUUGGAAACGACGUCUAAUACCGGAUACGACGCGGGAGGGCAUCCUCUCCGCGUGGAAAGAACUUCGGUUCGGGAUGAGCUCGCGGCCUAUCAGCUUGUUGGUGAGGUAACGGCUCACCAAGGCGACGACGGGUAGCCGGCCUGAGAGGGUGACCGGCCACACUGGGACUGAGACACGGCCCAGACUCCUACGGGAGGCAGCAGUGGGGAAUAUUGCACAAUGGGCGCAAGCCUGAUGCAGCAACGCCGCGUGAGGGACGACGGCCUUCGGGUUGUAAACCUCUUUUAGCAGGGAAGAAGCGAAAGUGACGGUACCUGCAGAAAAAGCACCGGCUAACUACGUG
rnacentral:rRNA from 1 species